rnacentral:rRNA from 1 species
UACGUAGGGUGCGAGCGUUAAUCGGAAUUACUGGGCGUAAAGCGUGCGCAGGCGGUUUUGUAAGCCAGAUGUGAAAUCCCCGGGCUUAACCUGGGAAUGGCAUUUGGGACUGCAAGGCUCGAGUGCGGCAGAGGAGACUGGAAUUCCUGGUGUAGCGGUGAAAUGCGUAGAUAUCGUUUGGAACGCCAAUGGUGAAAACAGGUUGCUGGGGAUAUGCUGACGCUGAGACACGAAAGCCAGGGGAGCAAACGGG